UAUCUCUGUAGAGUCUGCAUAUCAAUAAGCGGAGGAAAAGAAACUAACUAGGAUUCCCUCAGUAACGGCGAGUGAAGCGGGAAGAGCUCAAAUUUGAAAUCUUCAAGGUUUUACCUUGACGAAUUGUAGUUUAAAGAAGUGUUUUCUGUUGGUGUUUUGGUAAAAGUUCUUUGGAAUAGGACAUCAUAGAGGGUGAGAAUCCCGUAUUUGACCAUUACUUCCAGCUUUGUGAUACACUUUCAAAGAGUCGGAUUGUUUGGGAAUGCAGUCCAAAAUGGGUGGUAAAUUUCAUCUAAAGCUAAAUAUUGGCGAGAGACCGAUAGCGAACAAGUACCGUGAGGGAAAGAUGAAAGAGCUUUGAAAAGAGAGUUAAACAGUACGUGAAAUUGUCAAAAGGGAAGCGUUUGACACCAGUGUUGUUUACUCGAAAAUCAAUUAAAUAGUGUUCGGAUUCUAGUAUGUAUUAGACCUUAUCAGCUUGCUGCUUUCUUCUCGGAAAUUAUUUAAUGCACUUUUCAGUUAACAAGUCAACAUCAAUUUCUUUUGUUGUAAAAAGGUAAGAGGAAGGUGGCUUGCGCUUCGGCUCAAGUGUUUAUAGCCUUUUACUUCUGCAAUCGGAGAGAUUGAGGUCUGCAGCGUAGAUCCUUCGGGGUUAGAUACAUUUGUGCUAAGCUAUAGCCUUGUAUAGACAACUUGUUGACUAUGCUCAGUCAUGUAGCUUACUCGCUUAUGCUAUUUUACCUACGCUUAGGAUGUUGAUCUCUCACAGUCGAGC
rnacentral:rRNA from 1 species